UCGUUUCUAACACAGAUGUUGAGGUGUUAAAAACAUAUUCACUUAAUGAUCUAUUAGUUCUAUUUGAACACGACAAACUGUUAAAGUUUCAUUGAAUUGUUAUCAUUGACUUGAAGGAACUGUAGCCGUAGUUACAAGAGACAAAAUAAGGGUAAAUAACAUACCUAAUAAGAGAAUAAUCAAUGUGUACAUCUUGAGCGGAGCGGUGGAGGUCUGUUGCUUCAUURUCGCCAUUAUGCUGCGGUAUCUACAGUCUAAAUCCCAGUGAGUACUUGCUGCAAGGAAAGAUUUUGAAAUCCUGUGAGGACGUARCUCAAAGUUAUGUCAACAUCCAUGUGGAAAGACUAUAGGGUUCACGCCUCUGUCAGAGAAUCGACCAAUCACAGACGGAAUACCUUACGUCUAUUUCCGGUUCGUUUACGUAACGUAAUCGUGAGAACGUUUUUGAAUCGCACCGGAGCACAAGUAAAACAACUGCUACUAGUAGGAAUUCUAAUGUCACGACUUGGUGUGUUUUCAAAGUCAAAWAGAAUGUUUGAUCAAAAAACACUGGGAGUCGUUAGGGCGAGAGAAGCUUUUAAAUUUUUAAUGAACCACGUAUGGCCAUGAAUAAAAAAGGCGAAGAAUGGAAGAAACUAAUCUCAACUCUAACGAACUACUUGAAAACUUACCACCCAGGGCUAUUCACAGUGAGAAAAUAGCUUAUCAAGCUCAGAGGAAAACCCUGGGUGAAAUCCUGUACUUCAAAAAUUGAUCAAAAGUACUCGCAUUGGUCCAAGUGGUUGAAUUAUAGACCUGACUUACAAGACUAAUAUUUCCUGGUUCUGAAGGGCUGAGAAUAUGGUGUAUGGAAGAUAACGCGCGCAAACUACACCCUAAAAAUCAGACGGUGAAUAUUUGAUUUCCUAGACCCAUCCGUUCUACACUGCAUUUAAUUUCCCUGUAUUCUACGCGUCGAUAAUUCCGUUAAGCUGCACACAGGCUAGUCACUUCACUUAAUUUGCAAAACUUUUUUCUAUGAUAUUUGUAAUAUUUCGACGUAAAAUCAAACUAAAAUCAAACUUCUUUUCAAUAAUAUUAAGUACUGACCAAUCAAUAGAUUAGUAAAAAUAGUAUUCUUUGCUAUGUAUCUUAUUAUUAGCAGCAAUAAGGUUAUUAUUKUUUUAGCUACAUAAAUACUAGGCCAUUAGUAGAAGUCAACCGGCUUGAAUUAAAAGAACAGAUGUACAAGUAUCCAUAUGCAACGUUGUACAUUGUUACAUCACUUUUAUCAUUAAUUCUCUCAUCACUGAGUUGGCAGUCUUUCAAAAAGACUGCGACAUGUGAUAUUAUAUCAACAGCUGAAUAACACAGUUAAGGCCGACUAUAAAUAAAAACKUGUUAAUAACUA